rnacentral:tRNA from 1 species
GGCUCCGUAGUUCAACUGGAUAGAAUAUCAGAUUUCGGCUCUGACGGUUGGGGGUUCGAAUCCCUCCGGGGUCA